AUUGAACGCUGGCGGCAGGCCUAACACAUGCAAGUCGAACGAGUAGCGGACGGGUGAGUAAUGUCUGGGAAACUGCCCGAUGGGGGGGGAUAACUACUGGAAACGGUAGCUAAUACCGCAUACCAUCGGAUGUGCCCAGAUGGGAUUAGCUAGUAGGUGGGGUAACGGCUCACCUAGGCGACGAACCCUAGCUGGUCUGAGAGGAUGACCAGCCACACUGGGACUGAGACACGGUCCAGACUCCUACGGGAGGCAGCAGUGGGGAAUAUGGCACAAUGGGCGCAAGCCGGAUGCAGCCAUGCGGCGUGUAUGAAGAAGGCCGUCGGGUUGUAAAGUACUUUCAGCGAGGAGGCGUGACUCGCAGAAGAAGCACCGGCUAACUCCGUGCCAGCAGCCGCGGUAAUUC
rnacentral:rRNA from 1 species